ensembl:lncRNA
GGGGGAGGAGAGGAGCGAGGGGAGGAGGCAGAGGAGGGGGAGAAGGGAGAGAGGAGGGCGCGGGAGGGCAGUCAAACAGAGGAAGCCAGCAUGAGGCUCUCAGUUUGAGCUCUCCCCUCCGCAGCCCGCAGAUGAGUCCACGCACACAUACAAGAGAAGUGCCUUCUAGCGUUGACCCCUGUGGCUGUUCGGCUGCCCUGACCCGGCCUCCUCCUCCUCCACCUCCUCCUCCUCUGCCUGUGUGCCUGUCUCCUUCUGCUGGAGGCGCUGGUGUGGAGGAGCCCCUGGGAGACCCCCCUCCCCAACCCCGGGACCGCUGGGACCGCUGAGCCUGCCCUGCCGAGCGACGCGCCGCCCCCC